CUUCAAAUGAUGAAACAAUACUCGAUGGUGUAGAAACUACAUGUUUAAAACGGGAUGAUGUAUUUAACAUUAUUAAAUUAAGGGAACAACGAUGGAUAUGUCAAAUCUUGAUCUACGCGAGGACGAUUCCACAUUAACAUUGGAGGGUAGGUUUUUUAUCAUUAGAGCGAUUUUAAUUGUAAUUGCUUAGCAUAGUUGUUGUUUAAUUGAUAUAGUUCAGAUGCCAUGACUCAUUGAGUCAUGUUUGGCAAUGAAUAAAAAGAUGGGAUCCCAAGUUUAUAAUUGAAAGCAUGAUAUUGAUAGAGCGGAUUACCAUUUUGGUUGUGUAUUUUUAUCUAAUUUACUUUGAAAUCGAUCUAAAUUUAGACGUUUUAUGUUUCUCGCUCAGGUUUUGCUAAAGAAAUCAUUUUCUGUAUACUGUUGAACAGUGAUGUAUCUCAAUGUUAAACAAAAGAUAAUGGACUUUUAAAAAUGUAAUUUCGAAUUAUGCAAUGCAUUUUAUGUGGAAACAAUGAGUUGAUAUUGAGAAAUGACUAAAAGGGUAUUUUUGUGUUUUUUGGUCUAGGUGUUCUAUUGUCAUUAAAACGGCCAAACAUACGUUACGACUGCGAUCCAGCACGGCGAACACAAUUGUUAUUAUAAUUUCGACUGGUUUAAAGUCCCGAUCUACAGUGGGACAAUGUAUUGUGCUUGAAUACUUAUUGUUUAUUAUUAUUAUAAACACAUUUGAUCAUGUAGCUACAACUAGAAAGGACGGUUUGUCGGUUGAAGUGUUAGUUUGUCAUUAAUACCUCAUUUUUGAAUAUAAAUGCGAUAUGGUGUCCGUAUUCAAAUGAAAGCAAAUUAGAUUGAACAAAGUAAUAAGACACCCGAUGAGGUGUUUCAGAAAGGAAGCUAUUGUAUAUAUUCUUCGAACCAAAAAAAUAUGUUGACUCGUGAAAAUAGAGACAGUUGCAUUGAGGAAGCUUUUAAUCAUUAACUGACUGCUUUUCAUUACGUAAAUCAUUUGGGACAAAAUACGGUUAGUAAAAAACAAAAUAUAUUGGAAAGGGUUUAUAUUCUUAAAAAUGACUUAUGAAUUUAUAAUGUUGAGCGCUCUGCAGGAGAUGGUACCUAUGAGAUUAUCUCAUUUCCACUGGUACAGUCCGCCUUAGAUAAAAUGAGACUCGGGAACAAUUGGAAUGCUUCAUAUUUUAGUAAUUAAAUGUAAUCAAUACCUCUAACGUAAUAUGUAUUGCAAAUGCAGUAAUCUUACACCUUCAUACAUUGAAUAGAAUCAUUUCAGCAUGCAGUAACACUUCAAUUAAUGAUGGAUCCCAAAUAUUUAAUUGAAAAUAUUUUUGAUCACACUUCAGUAGGUGUAACGAUCAAUGCGUACAUUUUUAGGAGUCUGGUAGUCAUAUAGUAUACUGAUGUUUCUUUUAGAUUAUAUCACUUGGUUUUGAAUUUUAAUUUCAUAGCCUACAAAAACCGCACAUUUAAAACAUGUUCAAACUAGCAAAAUAAAAUGGAAAUAAUGGAAAUUUGUAUGGUUUAGUUGGAAAUUUCUUAACUUGAGUUAACAAUUAUAUAUCGAGACAGUAUUUCUUUGGCACACAUGCACAAUUGUAUUAUCGUUUUUUAUUGCAGAACUACGUGACAAGGUUGCCUCACAGGAAACAUUAGAGGGCUUGCAUUUUUUAACUUUAGGAUGAUUUAAAUUGUAUACGCUAAGCAUUGUUGUUGAUUAUUUGAUAUUUUCGGAUAACACCACUCAUAUUAUGUUUGCAAAUAAUGUGAGACAUUUGAUAUUUAAUUUGCUCUAACAACAAUGAGUAUAAUUCGUUAAAACCUUACCCGGUAUAGUAACUGGGGUAGGAGUUCUUCCCCCUGAUGACCGUUCUGUUACUAGAAUAAGUUAAAACAAAGAAAACAUCCCCAAAAUUGUACAAGUGCAAUUUGAAUGUUUAGAUACCCUAAUUAUGUUAGUAUACUAUCUGAUCUAACAGGGGAUUGUUGUGCAACCGAAGCAGUCCCCGCCCUUCUAAAAGUGUCGUUAUAGAUUUUUUUAUUUUUCAAUGUACUGGGAAAACCCAUCAGAAAGCACCAUUUGAGACUAAAUAUAGGCAUACCCGCUUUCAAAGUUAAAACCAGAUAUGUAUAUAAUUUCUAAGUUGCGGCCGGCCCUUGCAUUGUGGACUGAAAGGGUUGUAUACGUAGGGAAAGGGAUUAUAAAACAAGAUAACAAAUAAGAGAAACAAGUAGAAAAAAUGGUGACUCCAUAUUAAAUUAAUAUAAUUUAAAGAGUUUAUGUACAGAAAAGAAAAUAUCAAAAUAAAACAAUAAACUAAAUAAAAAAAACUUACUCUCGAAAUGUUCAAUCCUAAAUAAUUCUUUGAAAAUAAUACAGUGCAAACAAAAAGAAUCGGCUGGGUCAUUUCAUAUAUCUUGCACAACAGCGCCAGUUUAUUAUAGAAAACGAGAACAUCUGAAAAUAAAUGUCUUGUACGCGUUUGAUUCUCAAUUAAGGAUUCAUUUAAGGUAUGCGCGAUGCUUCCUUAACCUGUAAGGUUGAAUCUGAGAUUUAAACAACAAUUCAGUACAACUUGGACAGGUUUUUACAUCUUAAGAGCAAUGUUAAGAAAUGUUUAUGAACUGAAAAAAAUAUAACUACAUUCUUAUAUCAAUAUCCACUAGACCUAACUGAAAUGCCAUCACAAAACAGGCCCCAUUUUCUCGAAACAUCUUAAGCUUAUCAGCAUUAGGUACCUUAUUUCAAUUAGCCAAAAUACGUACUUAAUUGGAUUUCGAGUAAUGAAGAAUUGUUUAUUGUAAUUAUUUUAAACAUAAUUCCUUUUUAAAGUCUAAAAUCUCUAAAAAAUACAAUUUGACAAAAACUUAUAGGGAAACAAAAAUAGUGAGAUUAGCUUUAUCCUGUAUUGUUUUGUGUUUUGCAUACUGUAGAACGAAGGUUUUUGGUGAAAUGUUGGUGUGUUUCAUUAAAGUAAUAUCAACAUUGGUAGAAAUGUGUUUAACCUGAUCUCGCGUCAUGUGCCAUCAACAGUUUUAAAUUAAAUGCAAGUAUCUUUUUAUUUUUAUUAUCAACUUUUUCACGAUUAAAAGAGAUGAAAUGAUUGGUACAGUUCUUGCACGAAUAGUGCCAUUUUAAAAUCUAGGAAUCUCUUCAUAUGGAAAUAUAUAUCAAAACUAACAACAUUUUUCAUAUACAUUGCUACAACGGAAGUAGCUGUAACGAAAUGCUUACGUCAUUUCUUACCAUGCUCAGAUAUAUUAAGUUUUCCAUAUGUUUAAUUCUAGGCACAUAUUCGAGUGGAUAUUCAAGUACAUAUUCGAGUGGAUAUGCAACUUCCAACACGUAAGCUCCUCCGAUGUUCGUUCGUCAUGGAAUACCCGUUGAAGAUCGCAAUGUGAUUCUUCGAAAUGUUAGAUAUUUGAAAGAUGAACUCGAUCGUGAUGAAUUGGUCGACAUGUGCUUGACUGAAGGUUUGUUUGACGAAAGAGAUGGAGAAGAGCUUGCUGUCAUGAGAGCUCGCUAUCAAAAGGUGGAUAUGUUUAUGCGAAAGAUUUUAAGAUGUAAAAUACCGGAGGCGUAUAUGAAACCACGUAUGUUUUUAAAUGAACUCAACCUGGGAUACAUCUGUGAGCGUCAGUCAACGUCUUCUCUUGAAGAAUGUGUACCAUUAUCUGGAUAAACAGAUAUACAUGUCAACCUGAAACAUCAUCAAAGUGCGCUUUUUGAAAUGAUCGAUCCACACAAAGUAGCAGAAACAUUGUUGAUAUACGGAGAGUUAUCUCUUGAUCAAUACGAGGAAAUUAUUCACCCGACGCUUACUCGACAUAAAAGUUGUGUUGCACUUUUAAACUGUAUCAAGAACGCAUCAGAUAUUGCACAAACUUACAGCGUGCUGGUUAAAGCGUUAGAAGAUGACAGUUAUCCGAUAGAUUUUCUAAAGGAAAGAUCGUCGAACAGAAAAGGAAUAGAUUCAUUAAAAAACACAGACAAGUUUUGUGCAAAGACACAUCAAACAUACAGCAGGAACAGAAGACAAACGGACAUCUUCUGGCUGUUUCGAAAUUGUCCAUGAAACGGAAACAGUACGAAUGACGAUAAAUAUAGAAAACAAAAACUCCGGAAAGGAACAAUCAAUUGUUGAUGCCAUUGAACAGUUCGAUGUUAAACUGACUAUAAACGAUCGAUUGCUAAUUGAAACCAAGUGCUCCUUACUGGAGGCAAAGAAGGGGUCGAUCGUUUUUGAGUUAAAAAUGAGCAAAAGUGUGUUUCACCAACUGCUUACAAAGCAAAACUUACUCAAAUUAGCUACAUCUAUUACGCAGAUAGUAUUUACUCACCAUGAGGUUUCUGCUUUGAUACCAAACAUGACGUUUUCGGUCAAGGUACAGUCAGCUCAAUCAGAAGAAACAGCUUGCUUGAGAACGGUAUGAUAUCAAGUGACGAAAAGACCAUAAUUUGCACGAACUCAAAAUCACGACGAGAGCGUACAAGAGCCAUGUUGGAUAUUUUGUUGAAAAAGGAUAUUGGUGGUAUUGAUUUAUUCCUUGAUGACCUCAAGUCAAAAAAGCCUUAUGUGUAUGCCGUUAUUACCGGUGGCCAAAACGAAGAUAUGACAAAAAUCGGUAAAAGCAUCGCCGACAAUCUUGAGGACUAUUACAACGAGUUGAAACGAAACAUUUCACCAAGUGUAUUUCUUCAAUCUUGUAGGCACCUCCUCACUCUGAGUAAAUCUGAUCUGCAAACACAGAACAGAACAAGGCUUGCUCAGUUAAUACUGCAAGAUAUUAUAAAAUAUGCAUCUGCUAAAAACAGGGAACUAUUUGUUAGAAUUAUGGUAUACUACGGACAAAUACCAGAAACAGUUUUGGAAGAGGCAAGACAACAUGACGUCAAGAGGAUUGUAGCAAAAGCGUUGGCGUCGACCGAUUUCCAUGUUGACAGAAACUUUCCCAGUAAGCUAGGUUCCUUUCGAAUGCGUACUGGAACAGGUGUUUUUCGAAAGCAGUGUCAAUUUAAUGGAUCAUUCUGGACUUCUUUAUUUGGUCAACGACGAGGGAAUAUGCCAAACUGAAGAACUGAAUAUUGUUAGACUCGCUAGAAAUCCUAAGAUGAAUUCCUGUUUUACAAUAGAAUUGUAAACUACUGGGAGAAACCCAGUUUCGGGCCCUGUUUAAUAAUAACAUGCUUCACAGACCCUUAACGAAAGACUCGCUUAGUGACUUAACAAAACUUCAAAUGCAUCGAACUAUAUUCAUUAUUACAUGUCGAUUGUUGUUUUAGGCUAAAAAUACUAUUAAAGCCGUAGUUUCCAUCACGUGAUGUCCUUCCUCUGUUUGAUUGGGCCAACGAUAUAAAAGCGAAACCGGCAGACAAGACCACUCGGAUUCUGUGCACGGUUGUCUUAUUUAAACCUUUAAAACAUUAUAUUGUAUCGAGGUUGUUAAAUAGAUGAGGGGGUUUUGGGUUACGUUCUACGGUUUAUUUGUAGUGUGGUGACAAAAAUAGAUGAAGGAAGUCCUGCGUUAGGUUCUACGGUUUAUUUAUAACGAGAUUGUUAAGUAGAUGAAGGAAGUACAGGGUUACAUUCUACAGUUUAUUUGUAAUGAGGUUGUUAAGUAGAUGAAGGAAGUACUGAGUUACAUUCUACAGUUUAUUUGUAAUGAGGUUGUUAAGUACAUAAAGAAAGUCAUGGGUUACGUUCAAUGUUUUUUGUAAUGAGGUUGUUAGGUAGAUGAAGGAAGUACUGAGUUACAUUCUACAGUUUAUUUGUAAUGAGGUUGUUAAGUACAUAAAGAAAGUCCUGGGUUACGUUCAAUGUUUUUUGUAAUGAGGUUGUUAGGUAUAUGAAGGAAGUACUGAGUUACAUUCUACAGUUUAUUUGUAAUGAGGUUGUUAAGUACAUAAAGAAAGUCCUGGGUUACGUUCAAUGUUUUUUGUAAUGAGAGUAUUUAAAAGAUAAGGGAUGUCCUGGGUGACGUUCUACGUGUUAUUUAAGGUUGUUACAUAGAUGUCUGGUUACGUUCUAUGGUUUGUUUGAGGUUGUUACAUAGAUGUCUGGUUACGUUCUAUGGUUUGUUUGAGGUUGUUACAUAGAUGUCUGGUUACAUUCUAUGGUUUGUUUGAGGUUGUUACAUAGAUGUCUGGUUACGUUAUAUGGUUUGUUUGAGGUUGUUACAUAGAUGUCUGGUUCCUUUCUAUAGUUUGUUUUUAAG